GACGAACGCUGGCGGCGUGCCUAAUACAUGCAAGUUGAGCGCUGAAGGUUGGUACUUGUACCGACUGGAUGAGCAGCGAACGGGUGAGUAACGCGUGGGGAAUCUGCCUUUGAGCGGGGGACAACAUUUGGAAACGAAUGCUAAUACCGCAUAAAAACUUUAAACACAAGUUUUAAGUUUGAAAGAUGCAAUUGCAUCACUCAAAGAUGAUCCCGCGUUGUAUUAGCUAGUUGGUGAGGUAAAGGCUCACCAAGGCGAUGAUACAUAGCCGACCUGAGAGGGUGAUCGGCCACAUUGGGACUGAGACACGGCCCAAACUCCUACGGGAGGCAGCAGCAGGGAAUCUUCGGCAAUAGACGAAAGUCUGACCGAGCAACGCCGCGUGAGUGAAGAAGGUUUUCGGAUCGUAAAACUCUGUUGGUAGAGAAGAACGUUGGUGAGAGUGGAAAGCUCAUCAAGUGACGGUAACUACCCAGAAAGGGACGGCUAACUACGUG
rnacentral:rRNA from 1 species